rnacentral:rRNA from 1 species
CGUAGGGUGCAGGCGUUAAUCGGAAUUACUGGGCGUAAAGCGUGCGCAGGCGGCCUCUUAAGUCAGAUGUGAAAUCCCCAGGCUUAACCUGGGAACUGCGUUUGAAACUGGGAGGCUUGAGUGUGGAAGAGGGGGGUGGAAUUCCAGGUGUAGCAGUGAAAUGCGUAGAGAUCUGGAGGAACACCGAUGGCGAAGGCAGCCCCCUGGGCUUACACUGACGCUCAUGCACGAAAGCGUGGGGAGCAAACAGGAUUAGAUACCCUGGUAGUCCACGCCCUAAACGAUGUCAACUAGUUGUCGGGGAAGUUAUUCCUUGGUAACGAAGCUAACGCGUGAAGUUGACCGCCUGGGGAGUACGGCCGCAAGGUU